AGAAUUUUAUAAAACCUUGAAAUAGACGAAAUGCUUUGGGGAGUUGAAAAUAAGCAUAGAUCUGGAUAUUCCCGAAUGGGUCAACCUAUCGAACUGCUGUUGAAUCGAUGUACAGGCAAGAGACAACCUGGUGAACUGAAACAUCUUAGUAACCAGAGGAAAAAAAAGCAAAAGUGAUUCCCGUAGUAGCGGCGAGCGAAAUGGGAACAUCCUAAACCGUGAAAUCGGGGUUGUGAGAGAGCAAUACAAGCGUCAUGCUGAUAGGCAAAGCGGUUGAGUAUUGCACCCUAGAUAGCGAGAGUCCAGUCGCUGAAAGCAUCACUGACUUACGCUCUGACCUGAGUAGCAUGGGGCGUGUGAAUGAGCAAGGACCACCAUGUAUUUUUCAUCUUU
rnacentral:ncRNA from 1 species